rnacentral:rRNA from 1 species
CCCUUAGAUGUUCUGGGCCGCACGCGCGCUACACUGAUGCAUUCAACGAGCCUAUCCUUGACCGACAGGUCCGGGUAAUCUUUGAAUCUGCAUCGUGACGGGGAUAGAUUAUUGCAAUUAUUAAUCUUCAACGAGGAAUGCCUAGUAGGCGCAAGUCAUCAGCUUGCGUCGAUUACGUCCCUGCCCUUUGUACACACCGCCCGUCGCACCUACCGAUUGGGUGUGCUGGUGAAAUGUUCGGAUCGGCCGUUUGUCGCGGUUUCCGCGUCAUGUGGCUGAGAAGUUCAUUAAACCCUCCCACCUAGAGGAAGGAGAAGUCGUAACA